rnacentral:rRNA from 1 species
UGCUUAGGAAUCUGCCAAGUAGUGGGGGAGUAGCCCACGAGAAAUUUAGGUAUUAAUACCGCAUACGCCCUACCGGGGGAAAGGACAGGGGAGUCUUCGGACCUUGCGCUAUUUGUAUGAGCCUGAGUGAGAUUAGCUAGUUGGUGGGGUAAAGGCCUACCAAGGCGACGAUCUCUAGCUGGUCUGAGAGGAUGAUCAGCCACACUGGGACUGAGACACGGCCCAGACUCCUACGGGAGGCAGCAGUGGGGAAUAUUGCACAAUGGGCGAAAGCCUGAUGCAGCCAUGCCGCGUGUGUGA